AGUGAAUAGAUACCCGGGUAGUCCUAGCCGUAAACGAUACUCGCUAGGUGUCGGCCACGGUGCGACCGUUGUCGGUGCCGUAGGGAAAGCCGUGAAGCGAGCCACCUGGGAAGUACGGCCGCAAGGCUGAAACUUAAAGGAAUUGGCGGGGGAGCACCACAACGGGUGGAGCUUGCGGUUUAAUUGGAUUCAACGCCGGAAAUCUUACCGGGACCGACAGCGAUAUGAAGGCCAGGCUGAAGACUUUGCCGGAUUAGCUGAGAGGUGGUGCAUGGCCGUCGUCAGUUCGUACUGUGAAAGCAUCCUGUUAAGUCAGGCAACGAGCGAGACCCACGCCCACAGUUGCCAGCGUACUCUCCGGAGUGAUGGGUACACUGUGGGGACCGCCGCUGCUAAAGCGGAGGAAGGAAUGGGCAACGGUAGGUCAGUAUGCCCCGAAUAUCCCGGGCUACACGCGAGCUACAAUGGUUGGAACAAUGGGUAUCUACCCCGAAAGGGAUGGAAAUCUCCUAAAUCCAAUCUUAGUUCGGAUUGAGGGCUGCAACUCGCCCUC
rnacentral:rRNA from 1 species